UACAGAGGGUGCGAGCGUUAAUCGGAAUUACUGGGCGUAAAGCGCACGUAGUCGGCUUUGCAAGUCGGUUGUGAAAUCCCCGGGCUCAACCUGGGAACUGCAUCCGAGACUGCAUUGCUAGAGUAUGGGAGAGGAAAGCGGAAUUUCUGGUGUAGCAGUGAAAUGCGUAGAUAUCAGAAGGGAACAUCAGUGGCGAAAGGCGGCUUUCUUGGACCAAUACUGACGAU
rnacentral:rRNA from 1 species